AGCUGUUGGUGGGAAGAAAUGACUAGAUGCGUUUGUCAAAUUGACGUCUAUAAAGUUUUAUACAAUUUAUUUUUUGCUAACCUUAACCAAAUGUUCCUAACCUGCUACGUUAAUUAUCCCAACCUGCCGCGAAAAAUUCUAACCUGCUACGAAAAGUCAAUUCUGGUCAGUUUUGACUGUAUCUACAUUGUCAAAACCAGGAAACAGUGACACACUGCUCAUGCGCUAUAGACCCUUUUAAAUCUUCACCCGAUCAGACGACGAUCACCCCAUUGAAAGGUGUGAUUGGUAAAAUGAUUUCCUUUUAAUGGGGUGAUUGUCUAAUCGGGUGGAAUCUUGGACCCUUGACCAGACCGUUGUGUGGCGGCCCAGGCAUAUUUUUGUUAUUUUGGUUGUAGUGAGCACAGUCAAACAGUUGUAGAGAACGCCAGCUACUGUGAUACAAUGAAUUCAACUUUGAAUAUCAAGAUGAGGUCAUCGAAAGGCUCGUGUUGCUGUGUUUACGGGUGUUCGUUGAGACCUGCAACAAACUAUAAACCAAGUUUUUAGAUUUCCGAAAGAAAGUGGACCACUGCUAUGAAUAAAGAUGGUUGGCUACCAACAGCAAAUUCGAAGAAUUUCAGUGCACGCUUAAUUACAGGACACAGUACCUCAUCGACGCAGAGAGUCCCCAGAACCUUAUCGAUGCAGAGAGUCCCCAGAACCUUAUCGACGCAGAGAGUCCCCAGUACCUUAUCGACGCAGAGAGUCCCCAGUACCUUAUCGACGCAGAGAGUCCCCAGUACCUUAUCGACGCAGAGAGGCCCCAGUACCUUAUCGACGCAGAGAGGCCCUCUUACAGAAUUUCCCUGCCAAGGGCGCUGUGGGACUAAUUUCCAGCGUGUGUGUUGCUGUUUAUGUCUGGCUGGCACUAUCUAGUCUAGUUCUCCCCCUCACGUGAGAGAUUUUGAUCACCUCCAGCUCAUGGCUUCAGCCAAUCAGACUGUCCCCAUGCACCCCACAUUUUGCCCAUGCAUCCUGUGAUUGGUCAGAUGCUCAUAUCUAGCUCAGCACUGGCCAGUCGGGACCGUUGAAUGCUCUUCAAAGUGUAUAAAUAUUCCCCUGAGCUUGACGUGUGAUCAUGGGUGGAGUUAUGUACAUGGGAUGUGUGCCACAAAGUAAGUUGUUGUUUAGCUUUGAUUUGAAUUUCACUAUGUAGAUAUUACAAUGUUAUAUGCUGAAGUUGUUGUUAGUAUUGGCUAUUAUUACCUUUUAGUGUACUUUCUAUGUGUAAUAAUUGCUAUUUAUGUUGCCUAUUUGUAUAGCCUCACUGUAUGGUUAUACUGUUGUUAUUAUUGUACUACUGGUUAUUAGAUGCAGUCCUGUUGUUAUUAUUGUACUACUGGUUAUUAGAUACAGUCCGGUUGUUAUUAUUGUACUACUGGUUAUUAGAUACAGUCCGGUUGUUAUUAUUGUACUACUGGUUAUUAGAUACAGUCCGGUUGUUAUUAUUGUACUACUGGUUAUUAGAUACAGUCCGGUUGUUAUUAUUGUACUACUGGUUAUUAGAUACAGUCCGGUUGUUAUUAUUGUACUACUGGUUAUUAGAUACAGUCCGGUUGUUAUUAUUGUACUACUGGUUAUUAGAUACAGUCCUGUUGUUAUUAUUGUACUACUGGCUAUUAGAUACAGUCCUGUUGUUAUUAUUGUACUACUGGUUAUUAGAUACAGUCCUGUUAUUAUUGUACUACUGGUUAUUAUUGUCUCAUCUGCCCCGGAACCGUUGCCAGGUGUGACUGUGACUAUUAGGUGUGACUAUAUUGUCUAUCCAGCCCCGGCACCGUGGUCAGACACGGCUGCAAUUGAGACCGGGCAGGGACCUCGGCCCCCUCUGGUCCUGAGGAGUCACCUGCUACAGAGACUGAGCCCACACCAGAUAUCAUUCCCGAUCCCCCCCCUCCGCUGUCGAGGAGUCUGGGGGAACCUUCUCCCCAACUUGGGCGGCCUAUGAGAUUCCUGCAGCAUCGCCACACGAUAGUGAGCCUAUAUUGCUGACUGGACCCUAUUUCUCACCACCACCAGAUCAUCACCAGCCAAAUCUACCGGGGUGACCACUAAGACAUCACCCUGUGACCUGUCCCAGAGGCACGACCCAUUCCUGCUCCUGGGGUCCAAGCUGAUCCACCAUCUGCCCUGGAUUUACCAGCACUGCCUCCUAAUCUGGCCCUGACCCUGGAUCUUCCGUUGGUGCCUGCUCCAAGGCUUGCCCUGGGCCCUCCUCAGGUUCCUGCACUGAGAGCACAUCGCGUGCCUGCUCUCCACUGCUGGGGCCUGGCCUGCCUCAGUUGGGGAGCUGCCGCCGCUGGGGGUGCUCUCCUCUCUCCUCCCAAGCAAUGGACACAAUGGUCGCAUACACAUAUUUUGCAGAUGUUAUUGAGGGUGUAGUGAAAUGUUGUUUUCCUAGCUCCAACAGUUCUAGGGGUGGCUGUUACAAAUUCCCUGCCUAUGACUGUUAGCAGCACCUCACAACCCUGAGCUGCACACUCCACUGCCCAUCCUCUAGGACCGGAGCCUGAGAGUCUCAGGGGAACCAUAAACCUGCCUCUCAAACUCACCCUGACCUAUGUGUCCUGUGCCCUGAUACAGUAGGUUGCUAGGGAGGUUACUAGUGGGCUGGACAUCUGCCUGUCCUCUUGACUCUGCAGGUCACACUGUCAGUACUGUCAGUCACCCUCAAGCAGUGGUAGAGCGCAACAUCUCUGUCUCUGCCCAUCAACAACUGGACUCACUCAUAUCUUUGGACGUGUGGGAUGGUGUGCGUGCCCAAAGUGAGUUGUGUGACAUUUGUACAUUGUUCUACUAUUGCCUAUUGUAUGUUGACCCUCUGAGUUUACUGUGUUGUGUAAUACUCUGCAGGUGGCAUAUGCAAUCUAUACAGUCAUUUGACAUACAUAAGCUUACAGAAUAAAGCCGUAAUAUAUCUGUGCAUUCUUUCCCUGGUGUAUUCAUUUGGUAUGUGUGUAUUCAUUAUCUCAGUGGUUCUGUAAUGGACAGAAACAAUCAUUCCACUACCAUUCCCAAUGUACAUCCCAUGUUCAUCUUCCUCAGUGUGUGUGUGUGUGUG